rnacentral:lncRNA from 1 species
AUGGGGGACCCGAAUGGAUUCAUAGCGGAAACUCAUUUUAAAUGUAAUGGACUGGGCGGUUUUAUGAUCCCUCGGAAGCCGGCAUGUGAGCGAGGUGCCCAGAGGUCUCCCUCGCCGCCUGCUCGGGGAUGUGUUUCCUCCGGCCGAGGGGCCAGCACGCCGGGCAGCCCCCCCCGGCGGAGCCCGCGGGCCCGUGUGUGCGCCCCGGGGGAGGAGCAGCAGCCCCCGCCCGGCGGUGGCGGCCCGGGCCGCCCUCGGGGACCCCUCGGCGAGGCGGCGCGGAGCGGAGCGGAGCGGAGCGGUGCGGUGCGGCGCGGAGCGGGGCGCGGAGGGGAGCCGGGCGAGCAGGAGGUGUGCCUGCGUGCGAGGCGGCGAGCGCGGCCGCCGGGGCGAGCGCAGGGAGGCAGGGAAAUGAUCUUUGUCCCUUUCGGCAGCUCUCCGCCUCCUCAUAGCCUCGUCACCAAGUCAACCGGCACCAGCCUGGAGCAGAUUAUCUCCGAGGGUCAACACAUUGCAGCCCAAGCCGCGGAGAAGGCUCCCAAAUUUACCCCUUCGGCAAACAAUCCGCUGCCUAUCGCUCGCUCUGUUGAUAGCAUUGUGGUCCCCGCGGCCGCAUCCCCCCGGGCAGGGGGAGAGCGGGCAGAAAGCAGGGCUGCGCCUCCUUCCGCGGCCGCGGCACACGGCUUGGCCCCGAGGGAGCCUGCGCCCCGGCUGCCCCGGGCAUCCGCUGCCCAUCGCCGCAGCGCUACGCGGAGGUGUCCCUGCAGCCGACGGUCACCGGGGGCCAAACCCCUCCGGGAGCCGUGUCCCCCGGCCCCCACGGGUUUUGCUCCCCGGGCCGCGCCCGCGGAGCGCGGAGACGAGCAGCCCUUGCGCAGGCGGGGAGGGGGAGACGCGGGCCUGGGGGCCGAACCUCGGCCGCCCUCGCCGAGCCCACCCGCACGGCGGCAGCGUGCGGAGCGCAGCUCGGCCCUGCCCCACUUCACCCCGGGGCCACCCCCGGCUUCCCCCGGCCCCGCCAGCCCCACACCGCCGGGCGCCUGCCGCGGGGCGGGCGGGAGCGGCGCCCCGACGGUGGUCCCGCGCCCUCCCCACGGGGCCAAGGAGAAGUGGGUUGUGGGUUGUGGGGCCACCCCGGGUGGCCUCUUAUGGGUCCCGCCCCGCCCCGGAGGGCCGCGGGAGGGCUCACGUGGGGGGAGCGGCGCCUAUGGGGAGGCGGCGGGAGCCGGGCAGGGCGGCGGGGCCCGGCGGGCGGCGAGCUGUCAAAGAGGCAUCCCGGGCGCCGGGAGCGGGAGCAGCCCGAUGUGUCCCUAG